rnacentral:rRNA from 1 species
UACAUGGGGUGCAAACGUUGCUCGGAAUUAUUGGGCGUAAAGCGCACGUAGGCGGUUCGUUAAGUCGGAUGUGAAAGCCCUCGGCUCAACUGAGGAAGUGCACCCGAAACUGGCGAGCUUGAGUACGAAAGAGGAUCGCGGAAUUCCGGGUGUAGCGGUGGAAUGCGUAGAGAUCCGGAAGAACACCGGUGGCGAAGGCGGCCUGCUGGGCAGUGGCUGACGCUGAGGCGCGACAGCGUGGGGAGCAAACAGG